CUGGGAAACACUGCUUUUGUACGGAAAGCCACUGUGGUUCUCCUCUUUGCAGCCAGCACAGGGUGCCUGGGAUAAGCAGGCAGACAGGCAUCUGAAGAAAGCAGGAGCAGGUGUGAAAGCAAAUCAUCCAGCAUCUCUCGUUCUUGCCAUUAUUUUGAGUUUCUGAGAGAAGGAUCUGGGAUGAGAAAACACUCAGCAAACUACAGAAUCAGAUAAGUGCCCUGAGCACAAAAACACAGCAGUGGCUUUGGCCUUGGCAUGUGGCCAGCUUGCCCCUAUUCUGCUUGGGCAGUGAAGCACAGCACAAAGGACAGCUUGAAAGGGAGAGUUCAUUAAGAAGAGCAUGGGGCAGUUCGGUCGCUUUGGUUUUGUGUUGGUCCUCCUCUCUACUGCCACACUUUGGUUCAGGCAGGAAGGGCUGGAGUGCAAGUGCUGCUACUCAGCCACAGCAGCAGCCUGAAAGGAGCGAGAAGAAAUUCAGGGUUUGCAUCCGAAAACAAACGCUACUGGAAAUGAAACAGUCUGUUUCAAAGGCUGCUGAAACAUCUU
rnacentral:lncRNA from 1 species